CCUACGUGUGGCAGCAGUGAGGAAUAUUGGUCAAUGGACGAGAGUCUGAACCAGCCAAGUAGCGUGAACGAUGACUGCCCUAUGGGUUGUAAACUUCUUUUAUAUGAGCAUAAAACGUUCCACGUGUGGGAUUUUGUCUGUACCAUAUGAAUAAGGAUCGGCUAACUACGUGCCAGCAGCAGCGGUAAUACGGAGGCUCCGAGCGUUAUCCGGAUUUAUUGGGUGUAAAGGGAGCGUAGGUGGAUUGUUAAGUCAGUUGUGAAAGUUUGCGGCUCAACCGUAAAAUUGCAGUUGAGACUGGCAGUCUUGAGUACAGGAGAGGUGUGCGGAAUUCGUGGUGUAGCGGUGAAAUGCUUAGAGAUCACGAAGAACGCCGAUGGCGAAGGCACUUCACUGGACUGCAACUGACACUGAGGCACGAAAGUGUGGGUAUCAAACAGGAUUAGAUACCCCAGUAGUC
rnacentral:rRNA from 1 species